AUAACCAUACCAUGAUGAAUAUACGGUUCUCGUUAGAUCACCUAAGUCAAGCAUCAUUGGGCGCAGUCAGUACUUGGGUGGGUGACCAUCUGGCAACACCGCGUGCCGCUG
rnacentral:rRNA from 1 species